GACGAACGCUGGCGGCGUGCUUAACACAUGCAAGUCGAACGGAAAGGCCCUGCUUUUGUGGGGUGCUCGAGUGGCGAACGGGUGAGUAACACGUGAGUAACCUGCCCUUGACUUUGGGAUAACUUCAGGAAACUGGGGCUAAUACCGGAUAGGAGCUCCUGCUGCAUGGUGGGGGUUGGAAAGUUUCGGCGGUUGGGGAUGGACUCGCGGCUUAUCAGCUUGUUGGUGGGGUAGUGGCUUACCAAGGCUUUGACGGGUAGCCGGCCUGAGAGGGUGACCGGCCACAUUGGGACUGAGAUACGGCCCAGACUCCUACGGGAGGCAGCAGUGGGGGAUAUUGCACAAUGGGCGGAAGCCUGAUGCAGCAACGCCGCGUGCGGGAUGACGGCCUUCGGGGUGUAAAACGCGUUCGCCUGUGACGAAGCGUGAGUGACGGUAAUGGGUAAAGAAGCACCGGCUAACUACGUG
rnacentral:rRNA from 1 species